CGGGCCGGGCGGCGGGGCCGGGCCGCGGGCUCCGGAGGAUCUUCAGGUGACGGGCAGAAACCUGCCAAGGUGCAGGGCGGCAGCGUGGGGCUCAGCCGCGGUGCCUGCCGGCACUGACACACAGAUCGGUUCGGGUUUAAGGCAGUUUCUUUUCUCGCCAGCCGCGGCGAACGCCCCGCGCGGGGCGGGGAGCGCCUGGAGCUCGGGUGGGGAAUUCUUGUGAGGAGGGAAGGGCCACCGGGGGGGAGAUGUGACGAUUGGCGGGACGAGCCUGGAAUUCACCGCGAGCCACGUUCUGUUCCCGCUGCCUCGCCAAGGGACUUGCUUCCUUCCCAGGUCGGGACGGGUUUGCACGUGGAAACCAGGCUUUAUAUAAACUGCAGCCAGGCUGAGGAAAUGUAUCCAGGGCCUUUGGAAGUACGUGGAAGAGCAAACAGAGGGUGCUGGAGAGCAUGGGGAGGACACAGACCCAGCAGUCCUGGCUGCAGCUUCUGCCAGGAGGAUUUAUCCUACAGACACCAUCCAUCUUUCCUGGGGAGAACCACUGCAGGUACUCCUGGACAGUGAAUAUAUCCAGCUGUUACUGGCCAACGUUGGAGCUUCAUCACCACACGCAUGUGCUUUGUGUCCACUGUAAUAUCCCCAAGAGAUCUCAACAAACACUAACUUUAGGUACAAAGCAGGGCUGAUGCUAUUUACCUUCCAGCUGGCAACAGCCAGUAUAUCCCUGUAGCUGCUGAAAGAAGAAAGACUACAAAUCAGUAACUGUUUAGACUUUCUUACAAGAGGAAGCUUAAAAAAACCCCACAAUCUUGGUGGAAGACUGCCAAGAGGAUAUUUUUUAAUGCUUCUUCCUUUUCCCCUCUGCACCAUUUUUCCUCAAACCAUGAAAAUUUCAAGUAGUUGCCAAAGUUCAUAUUCUGUGUCUUUUUAUAUAAGACUUUCUGGAAAAAGUUUUAAAAGAAAAUCUGUAAUCGAGCUUAAUUACCCCAAAAUGGACGUCUCCAGCAUAAUUUUACUUCAUUCACAUUACAGCAGGGAAUAAAAAACUGUAGUGAGUCUAUCUGUAGAGUGGAAGCAGGUUUCUUGGCAGGGAGAUACACAGUAUAAAUGAGAAUUGGUGCAAAAUGUAAAGCUCUGCCAAUUUAAAAAUCACAGUCUAGCUGAACUGUAUACCCAAACGCACACAACCUUGUGUGCAAGCAUUCUUAAAUCAAACUGGCCAGGAAAGUUUCCAGUGAAAUAGAAUGUAUUUGUUUUAAACCUGUAAAUAGACAUGUAAAAGGUAUUUGCAAUCAUUUCCUUAAAUUAGUUUUUAAACUGAUUCAGCUGACUGGCCAAUGUGUAAACAAACAGUCAAGCUGAGGCACUGCAGUAAUGUAAUUUAGUCAUAUUUCAAAAAGCUUUUUUUUACUGGAAAGUGACUGUAGAGGAUUUUCUGUAUGGAACAUUUUCGAUCUGGUAGUUUCUAUACAAAUGCUAGGAAAGGAGGAGACAACUGGACAAACUGGCUUUGGGAAAAGAGAGGCAACAUUAGAGCUUCCCAUGCAAGGAAGCACAGAAGCUCCACUGCAAAGCUUAGCUGUAAGGGGAUUUCUGGACACAGUAACGAGCCCUCCUUUCAAAGUCCAGCUGCACUGCCACUCCCCAUAGCACCUAAGAAGUUAACUUGCUUUAACACUAGUGAGGGGAGUGUGAAGUUUUAUUUUGCUCAGAUGACAGCCAGGCUACUGAUUGUCAAUACAUGAUCUAUCAGGUGUCAUAAAUAUUUUUGUGUGUGUUUCACCCUCAAGCUUGGUAUCAUUUGCUUUCUUCUGCUGGGAA